rnacentral:rRNA from 2 species
UACGGAGGGUCCAAGCGUUAUCCGGAAUCAUUGGGUUUAAAGGGUCCGUAGGCGGUUUAAUAAGUCAGUGGUGAAAGCCUAUCGCUUAACGAUAGAACGGCCAUUGAUACUGUUAGACUUGAAUUAGUGGGAAGUAACUAGAAUAUGUAGUGUAGCGGUGAAAUGCUUAGAUAUUACAUGGAAUACCAAUUGCGAAGGCAGGUUACUAUCACUAUAUUGACGCUGAUGGACGAAAGCGUGGGGAGCGAACAGG